UAGUGUGCUUGCACAUUAUUUUAGUGGCGAACGGGUGAGUAAUGCCUAGGAAUCUGCCCAUUAGCGGGGGAUAACGUGUGGAAACGCACGCUAAUACCGCAUACGCCCUACGGGGGAAAGCAGGGGACUCUUUUAGAGCCUUGUACUAAUGGAUGAGCCUAGGUCGGAUUAGCUAGUUGGUGGGGUAAAGGCCUACCAAGGCGACGAUCUGUAGCGGGUCUGAGAGGAUGAUCCGCCACACUGGAACUGAGACACGGUCCAGACUCCUACGGGAGGCAGCAGUGGGGAAUAUUGGACAAUGGGGGCAACCCUGAUCCAGCCAUGCCGCGUGUGUGAAGAAGGCCUUUUGGUUGUAAAGCACUUUAAGCGAGGAGGAGGCUACCUGUAUUAAUACUAUAGGCUAGUGGACGUUACUCGCAGAAUAAGCACCGGCUAACUCUGUGCCAGCAGCCGCGGUAAUACAGAGGGUGCGAGCGUUAAUCGGAAUUACUGGGCGUAAAGCGCGCGUAGGCGGUUUGUUAAGUCGGAUGUGAAAUCCCCGGGCUCAACCUGGGAAUUGCAUACGAUACUGGCAAGCUAGAGUAUGGGAGAGGAAGGUAGAAUUCCAGGUGUAGCGGUGAAAUGCGUAGAGAUCUGGAGGAAUACCGAUGGCGAAGGCAGCCUUCUGGCCUAAUACUGACGCUGAGGUGCGAAAGCAUGGGGAGCAAACAGGAUUAGAUACCCUGGUAGUCCAUGCCGUAAACGAUGUCAACUAGCCGUUGGGGGAUUUGAUCCUUUAGUGGCGCAGCUAACGCGAUAAGUUGACCGCCUGGGGAGUACGGUCGCAAGACUAAAACUCAAAUGAAUUGACGGGGGCCCGCACAAGCGGUGGAGCAUGUGGUUUAAUUCGAUGCAACGCGAAGAACCUUACCUGUCUUGACAUAGU
rnacentral:rRNA from 1 species